CUAAGCAUGAACAACUUGAAUGUAAACAUUGAUUUUUAAGUUUUAUUUGACAAUGGAUUUUAUACCAGUCGGCCGCAAGAUAGUAAGUUGGAUGUAUUUCUAACGCAAUUUAUAAUUCGCAAGGUUAAUUUUUAAAGUGAAAAUGAUUUGAUAAGCUUAACAUGUCCUCUUGUACAUAUUAGAUUUAUAUAAAACAGCAAUUUUAAAUAAUGAUCAAUAAUGUCGGAUAGAAUGUCACGCUUCUUAACUCCUGAUCAAGUAAGCGUUUAUUUCAGUAGGUUGCAGCUCAACAAGAAAUACUUCACGAGGGUCUAUGAUUAGGGUCUUUCAAUUCUGUAUUCUUUACUUUUAGCCAAUUUUAUCUAUUCUUAAACAAAAUCCCAUUCCUCUCUGAUUUCUAUUCUCUGAAUUGUUUAUCUAGUUAUGUCCCCUUGUGAAAAUUUGAUUAAUAUUUAUAACUGACGAUUUUAAAUAAUGUUGAUAGAAUGACACACUUCUCGACUCGGUUCAGAGCGUGUUAUUGUAAUAGGAAACAGCUCACUGGGAGAUAAUUCCUGAGGGUCUAGAGGUCCGACACCAAAGUUAUCGUCAUAGUCCCUAGUGUGGAUAGUGUGUUACUUUCCACUUCUUUUUUUUUAUAUACCAUUCCAAAUUUAUUUAAGGAAAGACUGUAAUAUUUUUUCGGUCUAUGAAGAAAUAACUUAAAAACCUUUUAUUUUCAUAUUGAUUUAACUUUCGUAUGAAUUUUGAUUUUGAAUAAAUGAUCAAAUAUUAAUUCACCUGCUGAAAAAGUAUAUUCAACGCGAAAAACGUCCCAGUUAAUACGUACAUUUGAAAGUGAACUUAUUGUGGUAAUACCGUUUGAAGUACAAUUGGUUUUGGUACCCAUAACAUAAGUUUUCUCUCUCGGAAUACAAAUUUUUAAACAGAAUAAUUACUGUAUUUUGUUUCUGUAAAUAUGUGCAAAAUUGACUUUUUAAAAACUGAUAUUCAGUGAUUUAAAGCAUUGAGUCAGUGAAUAUCUGUUUUUCAAAAGUCAAUAAAAACGACAAAUGCAUCCAAUCAACAGUAAUUGUUUAGGUGUCAGACCACCAAUUGAGUAGGCCUACUCAGACAAAAAUAGUGCAUUUGAUGUCAUUGUUUACUUAAAUUAACCAACAAAUUUGCAGAAAUGAAACUUUUGGUGAAAGGGAACGGAAGCCGAUAAGGGCCAUUAAAAAAAAAAAUAUGUCGUAAUUACGACAUAGCAUGUCGUAAUAACGACAUCACUAUGUCGUAAUUUCAAAAUAACAUGUCGUUUAACGACAUCGCUAUGUCGUAAUUUCGACAUAACAUGUCGUAAUUAGUUAAUUACGACAGUAAUUAGUUAAUUACGACAAUACUAUGUCGUAAUACCUAUAGGUCAUCAUAAUGUAUUCAAUAAUAAGAAAAAAUAAAAACCCUGCAUAGUCAGCUAUAAAAGAGGGACGAGAUAUACCAGAGGGAGAAUCCCCGAAAUGACAGAUGUUUAACAAUUUUAUUCAAACGAGAAAAAUAACGGGUUUGAUAAUGUACAAAGACCGAAAAACAAAUAUGUAACACAGCAACAAACGACAACCACUGAAAUAAUAACGACAACCUUAGAGUUUAACUUUUCACUUUUUGAAGAAAUAGGAAAUUCAAAAUGGUCGCCAGUAAAGGCACAGUUUGUAGCGUAAACAAAUUCAUCUUUUUUUUUAAGAGAAUCAUGAACACUAUAUGCAAUCAAGCUUAAUUUAAGUUAUUUACUUGCACCUCGAGACUUGCACAUACUAGAAAUUUAUUUUAUAAUCCAAGUCAAAUGAGACCCAGUUGAAUAGGGAAGAAAUUCAAGCUCCUUGGAGCCUCUAAUUAUGUUUGGCAUGUACAGAUUUGUGUAAAGUAUGAAGUCCUCCAUUUCCAUAUCAGGUUCUGAAUAAGAUGAAUUUUAAGCUUUUCCCAAUAAAGACUAAUAUGUUAAGCUUUAGACUCAUAGUGCUCAGACCCACGGACCUCUGUACCUUCAUUUGUACACAAUUGAAUCUUAAUGUACUACUGAGACUUGAUGCAAAUUAUAACUGCUUUGCUAUUGUUGGUUCUUAGUGAGAUUCUUCAAGCGUCCUCCCCAUUGAAGCCUUAUUUAAACUUUUGUACCCCAAGUUCUUUUAACCACUGUUCCCCAGGACAACUAAUCCUACAAACUUAGGGGGAGGGUUUGGAUCCCGCUUACAUGUUCAACCCCGCCACAUUCUUUAUGUAUGUGUCUGUCCCAAGUCUUUAAUUGUAGUAGCCUUGAAAAUUGUCAAUUUUACGAAGUUUGUAACUUAUCUAUUUAUCUCUUGGAAAUUUUGCUGCAUUUUUAUGCCCUCGCCGUAGCGGAGGGGCAUUUAGUUUUACCCUUGUCCAUCUGUACGUCCGCCCGUCCUUCCGUACGUCUCAAAUUUGGUUUUCGUUCUCCAACUUUAGUUUGCCUCAACCAAAUGUUUUGAAACUCAUACACAAUGCUUAUAACUAAAAAACACAGAUCAAGUUUGAAUUUUUAGAGGGGUCACGUGAGCCGUUCUAGAGUUAUGUCCCUUUACUAAUGGAACAAUGUAUGCCCCUUUACAAAUGAGAAAAAAAUAUGCCCCUUUACAAAUGGAACAAUUGUGAAGUUUUUGUUUCCGUUCUCAUUUUAGUUUGCCUAAAACAAGUGUUAUGAAACUUACACACAAUGCUAAUUACCACAAAACGCAAAUCGAGUUUGAAUGUUGGGGAUGUCACUUUUACUGUUCUAGAGUUAUUCCCCUUUACAAAUGAAAAAAAACCCAGAAUUUUUUGUUUCUGUUCUCUAACUUAAGUUUGCCUCAACCAAAUGUUAUGAAACUUAUACACAAUACUUGUUACCACAAAACUCAUACCAAGAUCAAAUUUCCCAACAUGAUAUAGGUGAGUGAAGUGUUUGAUCGUUUUGUAAUCAAUUAAUCCUUCAAAAUUUUACUUUAUUUGUAGGUGCAAUAUAUAUACCAGUCCGUCAUUAUAAAGGGGAAAGAGAAAGGCAGCGCGGGUUAAAGAUGUUCGACGCCCCUCCAAUCAACACUAAGACUUUUAGAAUUUCGCGUGAAAAUGUACAACUGGCCUGCAUUGUUUGUACUUUAGGUUUAGGAAUUCUAGUUAUCAUCGAUUAUCUAUUGAAAUUCUUUAAGUAUGACCACAGAAGUUCUAAUAGUUUGUUCCUUGCUUUUUUUAUCGGAUUUUUUCAUUAUAUCUUUGGGUCUGUGGCCUGGCUAAAAUCAACAUAUCAACUACAUGGAAUAAGUGAAUUCUAUUUUGAUGUCUAUACAUUCCCCGUCGUGUGUUUCUUUUUUACAUUCGCCGUGAUAUGCACCAAAGAAUAUCCAGGAGAUUUCCGGAAAACAACAUUUGCAUACGUAGUUUACAUUUCCAUAUUUUUGCUAGCAGUUUUGGGAAUCGGGGUUGUUCGAAACUCCAGUAACCAACAUGCACACGAUGAUGUUAUACUGAACACAUCUGACAAGUUUUUUAAUGAAGACCUUCGUAAAUGUGGGAUGUAUGCCGAUAUGUUCACAAUAUUUGUCUUGAAAUGUUAUACUUCAUGCUUUUAUUACGUUUUUGAGUAUGUGUUUAUCUAUGCUCCUUUCACGGCGAUCCUGCUCUGGAAUAUAAAGGAAAGUGUGCUCAGCGGGCAACAAGGUAAA
rnacentral:lncRNA from 1 species